UACGGAGGAUGCAAGCGUUAUCCGGAAUUAUUGGGCGUAAAGCGUCCGCAGGUGGCAAUGUAAGUCUGCUGUCAAAGCGUCUGGCUCAACCAGAUAAAGGCAGUGGAAACUACAUAGCUAGAGUAAGGUAGGGGUAGAGGGAAUUCCUGGUGUAGCGGUGAAAUGCGUAGAGAUCAGGAAGAACACCGGUGGCGAAAGCGCUCUGCUGGACCGAAACUGACGCUGAGGGACGAAAGCUAGGGGAGCGAAUGGG
rnacentral:rRNA from 1 species